rnacentral:rRNA from 1 species
AGGAGGAGGAGCUCUAGACUAAUACUCUAGAUGCUGGACGUUACUCGCAGAAUAAGCACCGGCUAACUCUGUGCCAGCAGCCGCGGUAAUACAGAGGGUGCAAGCGUUAAUCGGAUUUACUGGGCGUAAAGCGUGCGUAGGUGGUCUUUUAAGUCGGAUGUGAAAUCCCUGAGCUUAACUUAGGAAUUGCAUUCGAUACUGGGAGACUAGAGUAUGGGAGAGGAUGGUAGAAUUCCAGGUGUAGCGGUGAAAUGCGUAGAGAUCUGGAGGAAUACCGAUGGCGAAGGCAGCCAUCUGGCCUAAUACUGACACUGAGGUAUGAAAGCAUGGGGAGCAAACAGGAUUAGAUACCCUGGUAGUCCAUGCCGUAAACGAUGUCUACUAGCCGUUGGGGCCUUUGAGGCUUUAGUGGCGCAGCUAACGCGAUAAGUAGACCGCCUGGGGAGUACGGUCGCAAGACUAAAACUCAAAUGAAUUGACGGGGGCCCGCACAAGCGGUGGAGCAUGUGGUUUAAUUCGAUGCAACGCGAAGAACCUUACCUGGUCUUGACAUAGUAAGAACUUUCCAGAGAUGGAUUGGUGCCUUCGGGAGCUUACAUACAGGUGCUGCAUGGCUGUCGUCAGCUCGUGUCGUGAGAUGUUGGGUUAAGUCCCGCAACGAGCGCAACCCUUUUCCUUAUUUGCCAGCGGGUUAAGCCGGGAACUUUAAGGAUACUGCCAGUGACAAACUGGAGGAAGGCGGGGACGACGUCAAGUCAUCAUGGCCCUUACGACCAGGGCUACACACGUGCUACAAUGGUCGGUACAAAGGGUUGCUACCUAGCGAUAGGAUGCUAAUCUCAAAAAGCCGAUCGUAGUCCGGAUUGGAGUCUGCAACUCGACUCCAUGAAGUCGGAAUCGCUAGUAAUCGCGGAUCAGAAUGCCGCGGUGAAUACGUUCCCGGGCCUUGUACACACCGCCCGUCACACCAUGGGAGUUUGUUGCACCAGAAGUAGGUAGUCUAACCGCAAGGAGGACGCUUACCACGGUGUGGCCGAUGACUGGGGUG